rnacentral:rRNA from 1 species
GGAUUAGAUACCCUGGUAGUCUAGGCCGUAAACGAUGUGUGCUAGGUGUGUGGGUUUAAAAGCCUGCGCGCCAAAAGCUAACGCGUUAAGCACACCGCCUGGGGAGUACGGCCGCAAGGCUAAAACUCAAAGGAAUUGACGGGGGCCCGCACAAGCAGCGGAGCGUGUGGUUUAAUUCGAUGCAACGCGAAGAACCUUACCAGGGCUUGACAUUUGAGUAGUAGAUGCGAGAAAUCAAUUCGACCUUCGGGAGCUCAAACAGGUGCUGCAUGGUUGUCGUCAGCUCGUGCCG